rnacentral:rRNA from 1 species
UACAGAGGGUGCGAACGUUGCUCGGAAUUACUGGGCGUAAAGGGCUCGUAGGCGGCCAACUAAGUCGGAUGUGAAAUCCCCAGGCUCAACCUGGGAACUGCAUCCGAUACUGGAUGGCUUGAGUCCGGGAGAGGGAUGCAGAAUUCCAGGUGUAGCGGUGAAAUGCGUAGAUAUCUGGAGGAAUACCGGUGGCGAAGGCGGCAUCCUGGACCAGCAUUGACGCUGAGGAGCGAAAGCUAGGGGAGCAAACGGG